AAGGAUCAUUAAUGCGCCCCUGGGUAUAAUCGGUCAGAAAUGGCCGAUUAUGCUUCGGUCAAUCGCCAUCCUUGUAGAGUGUAUAAUUGUUGCUUUGGUAGGCCGCCUUUGGGCACCGGCUUCGGCUGGCUCGCGCCUGCCAGAGGACCCCCAACCCUGUAUGUUAGUGAUGUCCGAGUACUAUAUAAUCGUUAAAACUUUCAACAACGGAUCUCUUGGUUCUGGCAUCGAUGAAGAACGCAGCGAAAUGCGAUAAGUAAUGUGAAUUGCAGAAUUCAGUGAAUCAUCGAAUCUUUGAACGCACAUUGCGCCCCUCGGUAUUCCGAGGGGCAUGCCUGUUCGAACGUCAUAAUUACCAAUCUAGCCUGGCUAGGUCUUGGGCGCCGCUUCCGGGCGCGCCCCAAAAGCAGUGGCGGUGCCGUCGGGCCCUAAGCGUAGUAAAUACCCUCGCUAUAGGGCCCCGGCGGAUGCCUGCCAGCAACCCCCCCAACAUAGGUUUGACUUCGGAUCAGGUAGGGAUACCCGCUGAACUUAA
rnacentral:rRNA from 1 species